rnacentral:rRNA from 1 species
CCUACGGGAGGCUGCAGUGAGGAAUAUUGGUCAAUGGACGAGAGUCUGAACCCGCCAAGUAGCGUGAAGGAUGACUGCCCUAUGGGUUGUAAACUUCUUUUUUAUGGGAAUAAAAUGUUCCACGUGUGGGAUUCUGUAUGUUCCAUAAGAAUAAGGAUCGGCUAAAGCCGUUACAGCAGCCGAGGUAAUACGGAGGAUCCGAGUGUUAUCCGGAUUUAUUGGGUUUAAAGGGUGCGUAGGUGGAUUUAUAAGUUAGUUGUGAAAGUUUGCGGCUCAACCCUAGCAUUGCAGUUGAAACUGAUAGUCUUGAGAUCAGUUGAAGUAGGCGGAAUGCGUGGUGUAGCGGUGAAAUGCUUAGAGAUCACGAAGAACUCCGAUUGCGAAGGCAGCUCACUGACCUGCAACUGACGCUGAGGCUCGAAAGUGUGGGUAGCAAACAGGAUUAGAUACCCUUGUAGUC